UACGGGGGGAGCAAGCGUUGUUCGGAUUUACUGGGCGUAAAGGGCGCGUAGGCGGGCGCGACAAGUCACUUGUGAAAUCUCCGGGCUUAACUCGGAGCGGCCAAGUGAUACUGUCGUGCUAGAGUGCGGAAGGGGCAACUGGAAUUCCACGUGUAGCGGUGAAAUGCGUAGAUAUGUGGAGGAACACCUGUGGCGAAAGCGGUUUUCUAGCUGAUCUCUGACGCUGAGGCGCGAAAGCAAGGGGAGCAAACAGG
rnacentral:rRNA from 1 species